GAUGAACGCUGGCGGCGUGCCUAAUACAUGCAAGUCGAGCGAACGGACGAGAAGCUUGCUUUUCUGAUGUUAGCGGCGGACGGGUGAGUAACACGUGGAUAACCUACCUAUAAGACUGGGAUAACUUCGGGAAACCGGAGCUAAUACCGGAUAAUAUUUUGAACCGCAUGGUUCAAAAGUGAAAGACGGUCUUGCUGUCACUUAUAGAUGGAUCCGCGCUGCAUUAGCUAGUUGGUAAGGUAACGGCUUACCAAGGCAACGAUGCAUAGCCGACCUGAGAGGGUGCUCGGCCACACUGGAACUGAGACACGGUCCAGACUCCUACGGGAGGCAGCAGUAGGGAAUCUUCCGCAAUGGGCGAAAGCCUGACGGAGCACCGCCGCGUGAGUGAUGAAGUUCUUCGGAUCGUAAAACUCUGUUAUUAGGGAAGAACAUAUGUGUAAGUAACUGUGCACAUCUUGACGGUACCUAAUCAGAAAGCCACGGCUAACUACGUG
rnacentral:rRNA from 1 species